UACGUAGGUGGCAAGCGUUGUUCGGAAUUAUUGGGCGUAAAGAGCUCGUAGGCGGUUUGUCGCGUCUGCCGUGAAAGUCCGGGGCUCAACUCCGGAUCUGCGGUGGGUACGGGCAGACUAGAGUGAUGUAGGGGAGACUGGAAUUCCUGGUGUAGCGGUGAAACGCGCAGAUAUCAGGAGGAACACCGAUGGCGAAGACAGGUCUCUGGGCAUUAACUGACGCUGAGGAGCGAAAGCAUGGGGAGCGAACAGG
rnacentral:rRNA from 1 species